UGAGGCUCAGAGAGGCAGGGUGACAUCACAGAGCUCCUCGGUGGCAAAGCCACAUCAGGAGCGACAACUGCUAAUUCUGGGUCGCUACACCCUCCCGGCCUCUGCGAGGAAGGACCCGGGGGCUCAGAUGCCCCUCAUUCCUGCCAGCGGCUACAGGGUCCCUGCCAGCCCCAGAAACCGGGCCCUGUGCCCCGAUCCCGUUCACCGCCCGGCCGGCUGUGUGGGCAGGAUGCGGUGUCCUUCCUGUGAGCCAGGAGCUCGUUAACACACACUCAGCAGGGAAGAGGAGGCAGAAGCGGGCGCAGACAUCGCAGCGGAGCCUUUGGGGCCGUGCCUGGCUCAUUUCUCUGCAGCCCCGGGCUUCCCCCCACUCGGGAAGAGCGGCUUCCCAGUCUCGCCCAGCACGCCCCCCCUCCUAACGCCAAAAAGAUUGCAUUUGCCCCAUUUACUCUGCUCCUGUCACUGACCCUACCCUGUAGAGCCGGGCGGGGCAGUGCGUGCUCUCCGCCUUGGCAUUCAAGGCCUUGGUGCCAACUCGGUGCCCCCUCCCCGUUUCUGGCACAGCCCUCUGUUCUGACGAAAUUCCUCUGUGUCCCCGGAACGUGCCACGAUUUUGCUACCUCUGAGCCUUUGUCUGCAACCCCCACCACGCCUGGGCUGCCCGCCCUGUUUCUCCUCCUGGGCCGACAGGGCAGGUCUGGAGUUGGAGGAACCUCGCACAAACCCUAAUUACAGACCCUGACACUGCUGACCUAGGAAGCUGCGCGACGUUGGACAAGCACACGAACCUCUCUGAGCUUUGAUCGCUUCACGUGAAAACGUCAUUCUAAUAGGUAGCUGGGAACUUGGCGGCACCAGAGACCACCAGGAUCUACAUGAUAAUCGAAGCCCCCGAAAAGGGUGCCAUUGCCUGGGAGGUGGAGAGGAAGGAGAGGUGGCUUGGGACACGGAGCAGACACGGAGUGCGUGCCUGUGAGCAGGCAGGUGACUCGGGCCUGGUCUCCCGGCAGGUGCUAAACCAUCAUUUGUCCCAGGUUCCCCCUCGUGGGCGAGGGCACCCCUGCUCACCGCUCACCCCGUUCUCCAACACCGUUCCUCUCCGUCCCGGGGACAGGGCCACACGUGCGGAGCACAGAAUAAGGAGUCCUACCGCCAGUGGACCUGCCCCUCAGGGGCACUUAGCUGCAAGGACACGGCCGCGUGAUGCCGCCCCAGGGGCCACGCCCACUCCCAUCCGCUCCUGUCCCCAAGGCCUCCCUUUGACUUCUGCAGCUCCCAGGCUGGGCCUGCGGGCCGCCCAGCCUCCUGAGAGUGUCUGCGCUCUGGGCCCCGUCACCCUGGGAGCCCCAGCCACCCCUUGCCGCAGGGGGGUGGGCAGGGUGCCCUGGACACACUUCCCUUGUGUGGACUGGCUCAUCGGAUCCCAUGGGGGCCUGUGGGAGCGUCAGUGCCGUGGGAACGUUGUCGUGGGUCCCGCACCGUGGCCAAACCGAAGCACCGAGUCGCCCACCCACGGACACACAGGAAGGCGGACGAGCUGCGACCCACAUGCAGACCCAGGGCUUCACGGAGCCCCAGAGAGCACGGCUGUGGACAGACCCCAGCCCCUCGUCCUCAUCUGACGGGCCGGAAUGUCAUUGGCCGAUUUCAGGGGGACCGUCGAAGCUGUCUUGCCCCAGCCCGAGGAUCUGCUCUGAUGCUCCCAGGAGCUGUCUGGGGUCUGGCCCGACCUGGGGCUCUGCCCUGUGCCCCCUGCACCUGACGGGGGCAAGACAGGGGCCUGGGUGCUGGGGUCCGAAGGGCAGGUGGGGACCUGAAGCGGGGGCCUCCAGGCCUCCGUGUGGCUGUGGUCUUUCGGAGCUGGGGCUCGGCCCUGCCGCUCAGCCUGCUCUUCUCUUCCAUUCUCUAACCGCGGCCCCGAUGACUGCUGCUUCUUCCAGGAAGACCGCCCUGCUUCCCCUGGACCUGAGGUAGUGACUUUCCCUGUGCUCCUAGAAUACCCUCUACCCCUGUCUCUGCCAAUGGAAUUUAGGUUCCUUGAGGGCUGAGGCCAUGCCUUCUUGCCCACCUGGUGUCCUCGGCACCCGGCCUCACACAUCACAGGCUUGCAACAGCUGGGACAGGAGCCAGCGUUAUCUCUCGCUCCCGUUCCCCUCUGGGGACGAAGCUCACUGCCUCACCGCCUGAGGCUCCCAGCUUCUCCCUCCCCCACUGGGACCACAUCCAGCCAGGAAUGAUGCAAAGGUCUCCUGUGUCACACAGAACAGAAGCAGAGGCAAGGUGGACAAAGGGGGCUAUGGGGUAGGGGAACUCCUGGAAGAGGUGACUCGGUCGUGUGGGAAAUCAGAGACUGGGAGCGGUCUGUCACGUGAAGGGCCUACUCAGAGUGUUCUGGGUGGAGAGGAGGAGCGAGUGCAAAGGCCCUGGGGCAGGAACCAGCUUGGCAGUUUUGCGGGCCACACAGAUCCAGAGCAGUGGAGCUGGGUGAGCUGUGGGUCUUAUUCCAAGUGUGUCGGAAGCCAGGGAACAACGUGCCGUGACUCGGCCAGAGGCCGGCCUUCCUGGCGCCAGGGUGGCUCGCUGAGCUGAGGCUGAGCAGCAGGGCUCGGAGGAUUCCCGGGGGUCCCACGGCCUCCCCGGCCCCAGCCACCUGGGUGGUCCUGCACGUGCUGGCCGUGAUCUGGAAAUGUUGGUAGAAGGCACGGGCAAGGAGCAAUGCGUCCCGUGGAGGCGGCAGGGGGCCGCGGGAGCACACUCACCUUCCGGUUCCCAGAGUUGAUAUGACCUGGCGAGAAGCAGGUCAGGGGCGGAGAGAACCUGUUUUUCAGCCACCCACAGGGAUGCAGACAUGGCUCAAUGACCAUUUUCGCCUUUGAGCAAAAACAGCGAGGCCCGCCUCUGUCUGAGCUCCCGGUACUUACACGAAGGCAUGAGUUAUACGGUAAAAAGGCAUUAAGUUCUACGACAGAAAGGGGCCAUUCUUCUUCCCUCCCAUUAGAAAGGGCCUGACCUGCCGUAAGGGUGCCGCCUACGAGAGAGAGUCACCCCGUCCCUGGGGGACCCACAAGGCACACCUCCCUCUCCACUUCCUCCCACAUGACCGGUGAGGAAGGAAACUGAGGCUCAGAGGGCCGUAAACACCUCCCUAAGGCCCAGGCCAGAACGAGCAGGAGAGGACUCCCCGUCCUGCGCUGCUGAAAAUAAUCCCUUCUCGUGAAGUAGUUCAUUCGCACAAGAGGACAGAGGGGGACACUAAGGUGACACGGACACCACAUGCCACCUCCGACCUAAGACAGAGAAGCAAGACAUGCCAGGACCCAGCAGCCCGGCUCCCGCGCUGGCCGGCGACCCUCUGCCCCACAGGACACAGCCGUUCCACGUGGGACCCACCGUAAAUCCGAUAUGGUCUCCCCUCGACAUCCUUAGCUUGAUCACCUCUGCCAAGACCUGUGUUCCCAAUGAGAUUGCGUUCCCAGGGACUCGGGCUUCAGACAUGGACGUAACUUUCCGGGGCGUCUGUUCCCCCACCGUGUAGAGGAAUGUGCUCCAAAAUUUACUUAGCUGUUGGGGUGUUUGAUCAAACAGUUUAGGGCCCUGCGGGAGUGAGGAUGUCCCUGAUACCGCCUGUCCUGGUGGGGAGGGUCACACCUUGUGCCCCUCAGCACCCUAGCUGCUCAGCGGGGUGCGGGAGGAGACCAGCCAUCCAGGCUGCUGGAGGUUCCUCGGGAGCUGGCGUGGGUGUAGGAUGCGGACAGCCGUGGAGAGGGGCGGCCAGUGCUUCCCGUCUGCACCUGCCAGACACGGUCCCUGCUCUUGCCCAGCACCCUCCUCCCUCAGACUAGCUUGGACAAUCCAAGGCCAUCUGCCAUGGCCACCGGUCCUCGUUGCAUCCUGUCGCGUCCUCUGGGGCGUGUCUCCCCUUGUCAUUUAGAGAAGCGAGUUGGGUAAUGACUUGUUCGGGGCGUGUCUCCCCUGGGACCUUGCCUGUUCCUUUCCUUCCUGCCUUGCAGGCCCUCCAGAGGUCACUGUGGACCGAAUGCAUGCGACUGAGCCUGGGGGACCCGGACCCUUCUUAGCCUGGUCCACAGGAGACUGCGUGCUGGGCAGGGUCACCGUGGGGCGCCCGAGCAGCCCGGGGGGAAGGGAUUCCUGCAGACGGUCUUGCUGGGGCCCCUCCCAUGAGCCCCCGCUUCAUACUGGAGAUCAAGACAGAGGGACAGACUGCCGCCUGGCCCGGCCCGGCCCACAGGACCUCAGCAGCGAAGCUGCUGUACCGCGGGGACCCUCACUUCUCCCAAGCGCUCAGAAGCCCCUUUGCUCAGCCCUGCCUCCCACAGCUGCUGCUUGUGCCGGGCCUGGCGCCUUGGGCCUCUGGGGCUUCAUCAGGAGCCAGGGACGCAGCCACCUUCUCUGGCGCAGGAGAGGAACUCCCCACAGGUUCCGAGAAUGUCGUCCCUCAGUCUCAGCCAAGCCGGAGGCUCUCCUUUCCUCCCCUUGGGGACCGGAGAAGAUGCACGGGCCGCGGGCACCAG